UCCCUCUUUAUCCCAAAACAGACC
rnacentral:snRNA from 1 species